UACCUGGUUGAUCCUGCCAGUAGUCAUAUGCUUGUCUCAAAGAUUAAGCCAUGCAAGUCUAAGUACGAGCUCUCGUACAGUGAAACUGCGAAUGGCUCAUUAAAUCAGUUAUGGUUCAUUUGAUCGUACAGUUUACUUGGAUAACUGUGGUAAUUCUAGAGCUAAUACAUGCGAGAAGCGCCGACCUCGCGGGAGGCGUGCAUUUAUCAGACCAAAAACCGGCCGCGUCUUCGGGCGCGUUCGCCUUGGUGACUCUGGAUAACUUUGCGGAUGGACAC
rnacentral:ncRNA from 1 species